ensembl:lncRNA
GAAGUUCCAAAGAAGGGUGGAUUAGAAGAGUGGUUUUGGAACUAUAUUGGGUCUGACUGUUUCCGUCAGACUUCUGUUUUUAAGCUUUGUCUGGACACCGAACUUUCAACUGCCUAAUUCUAACUGAAUCAUAAAUCCUCAAGACCUUACUACCGUAUCCUUUAAAGAGACGUGGCUUACCAUGCCACAUUACUCCUCAUUUAAAUUUAAAUUAUAUUUUGCAGGAAGACACGGUCAUUGAAUUACCAUGAUGUACAUACUCCUUACUGUUUUUGGACACUUGGCAAUCUGAUACGAUUUAUCUGUGCAGAAAACUUCCUGGAUUGGAACAGCAUCACUGUAAGGUUCCUAACCUGCUUAACAGUUUCUCUAGAAUGAGUCUGGGAGCCUGGGAGAUUUGAAAGAGGGAUGCUGUCUCGUAAUCUGCCUAUUUGUCCUGUUUAGUAGGAAUUGAAAUGCUUAAGGAGGAAAUGUUUAAAACAAAGCACCGCAGAUACAGUGUGAGACAUAGCUGUAUUAAGAUUCAGUGACUGAACCUGACUGUGCUGUCAUACUUCUGUGAAGAUGCAAAAAUGGACCAGCUCUGAC